ensembl:lncRNA novel transcript
CCUAAUGAAUGCAGCUGUCACAGAGCUGGAGCUUGGGUGUCCUGGGACAUGUUGAUGGUGCCUUGCUUCCUCUGGAGAACUAAACCCUCCCUUGGAAGGACAUGAUGGAAACUCAACAGCCGACUUGACAGUCAGGAACUGCAGAGUCUCCUGUGAAUGAUUUAUGAUUACGUCAGCGAUGAGACUCUGGAAUUGCAUCUUGUGAUUGACUUGAAGGCUGGCUCCAAUACUAGCUCCUAUGAAAACAUCCGCCCUCCAAGAAGACUUCAUCUCUCUGCCGCCGAGCCUGCAAUUUGCAGUUCCUAGAAUGUGACUAGGAUGAGCUGUGAAAGUGUCAGUUUUUUCUACCAGGGCACCAGGACUCAGGGCGCCUUGACUUUCCCUAAACAGUGACCUCCUGGGACUGAGAUGACACUCAACCCGUGUUUUCCAGAAUGAUGGUUGACGCUUUGGCUGUGUCUCUUCUCCGAAUUUAUCUAACAUGCCUGGGAUUAGAGUCAUGGAAGUCGUUCCAGGAAUA